GUACCCGCUGAACUUAAGCAUAUCAAUAAGCGGAGGAAAAGAAACCAACAGGGAUUGCCUCAGUAACGGCGAGUGAAGCGGCAAGAGCUCAAAUUUGAAAUCUGGCCCCUCCGGGGUCCGAGUUGUAAUUUGCAGAGGAUGCUUCGGAUACGGCCCCCGUCUAAGUGCCCUGGAACGGGCCGUCGGAGAGGGUGAGAAUCCCGUCUGGGACGGGGUGUCCGUGUCCGUGUGAAGCUCCUUCGACGAGUCGAGUUGUUUGGGAAUGCAGCUCUAAAUGGGUGGUAAAUUUCAUCUAAAGCUAAAUAUUGGCCGGAGACCGAUAGCGCACAAGUAGAGUGAUCGAAAGAUGAAAAGCACUUUGAAAAGAGAGUUAAACAGCACGUGAAAUUGUUGAAAGGGAAGCGCUUGCGACCAGACUCGCCGGCGGGGUUCAGCCGGGAUUCGUCCCGGUGUACUUCCCCGCCGGCGGGCCAGCGUCGGUUUGGGCGGCCGGUCAAAGGCCUCCGGAAUGUAUCGCCCCCCGGGGCGUCUUAUAGCCGGAGGUGCAAUGCGGCCUGCCCGGACCGAGGAACGCGCUUCGGCACGGACGCUGGCAUAAUGGUCGUAAGCGACCCGUCUUGAAACACGGACCAAGGAUCUAACAUCUACGCGAGUGUUCGGGUGUCAAACCCGUGCGCGCAGUGAAAGCGAACGGAAGUGGGAACCCAUCCGGGGUGCACCAUCGAACGAUCCUGAUGUCUUCGGAUGGAUUUGAAUAGGAACGUUACUGUUGGGACCGAAAGAUGGUGAACUAUGCCUGAAUACGGCGAAGCCAGAAGAAACUCUGGUGGAAGCUCGCAACGGUUCUGACGUGCAAAUCGAUCGUCCAAUUUGGGUAUAGGGGCGAAAGACUAAUCGAACCAUCUGGUAGCUGGUUCCUGCCGAAGUUUCCCUCAGGAUAGCAGUAACGCGAAUUCAGUUUUAUGAGGUAAAGCGAAUGAUUAGAAGGCUUGGGGUUGAAACAACCUUAACCUAUUCUCAAACUUUAAAUAUGUAAGAAGCCCUUGUGCUUAGUUGAACGUGGGCAUUAGAAUGGAGCGUUACUAGUGGGCCAUUUUUGGUAAGCAGAACUGGCGAUGCGGGAUGAACCGAACGCGAAGUUAAGGUGCCGGAAUGCACGCUCAUCAGACACCACAAAAGGUGUUAGUUCAUCUAGACAGCCCGACGGUGGGCCAUGGGAAAUCCGGAAUCCGCUAAAGGAAUGUGUAACAACUCACGGGGCCGAAAUGAACUAGCCCUGGAAAAAUGGGAUUGGCGCCUCCAAGCCGUUGUUUACCCCAUACCUCCGCCCGUCCAGGGGUU
rnacentral:rRNA from 1 species